rnacentral:misc_RNA from 1 species
CCGAGUUUACAACUCCCAAACCCAAUGUGAACCAUACCAAACUGUUGCCUCGGCGGGGUCACGCCCCGGGUGCGUCGCAGCCCCGGAACCAGGCGCCCGCCGGAGGGACCAACCAAACUCUUUCUGUAGUCCCCUCGCGGACGUUAUUUCUUACAGUUCUGAGCAAAAAUUCAAAAUGAAUCA